GGAGAAGGAAUAGAGGAGGUGGUAAAACAGGAAAAUGCUAAGAAAACAAUAUUUAGGUUAAUUUUCCCUGCUGCCCUGUCUGUCUUUGUAGUAUUUGUCUUCCUUGACAGUGCUUUCAGUGUAUUUGGUGUGUUUAGGCGAUGUUGGAGUGUGUCUGGAGGUAUUUAGGGGGUGUUGGAGUGUGUGUUUUAGGGAUUUGGUUAUGUUUGAGUCAAUAUUUAGCGUUCCUGGUGUGUUUUGGGGUGUCUUAGGCUUGUUUAGGAGUGCUUUAAGUGUGCUUUGGACAGUUUUCAAUGUUUUGAGAUGUUUCAAGUGUAUUUUGGGAUGUUAUGGAUGAGUUUGGGUGUGUUUUGUGUGGAUACGGGUGAGUUGUGGGUGCGUUUGUGGGUAUUUUUGGGUAUUUUAGGUCAGUCUGGGUGUGUUUUGGGGUGUUUUAAGUGUGUUUUGGGGUGUUUUAAGUGUGUUUUGGGCCGUUUUAAAUGUGUUUUGGGAUGUUAUGGGUGAGUUUGAGUGUGUUUUGGGUUGGUACGGUGUGUUUUGGAUGCGUUUUAAGUCAAUUUGGGUGAGUUUUGGAGAAUUUUAAGUGUGUUUGGGGAUAUUUUGGUGCUUUUUCGAUAUGUUUAGGAUGUUUUUUGUGCGUUUAGGAAUGUUCUGGGUAUGUUUAAGGUGUUUUAAGGUGUUUUAGUGUGAUUGGAGUUGCUUUUGAGGUGUUUUGGUUAUGUUAUAGGCAUGUUGCAGGUAAGAAUGGGGUCUUUGAGGGUAGAAGUGGUGUGCUUGAGGUAAAAUAAAAGAUUCUGGAGUGUUUUGGGGAGGGGCUGUGAUAGUAGAAGCGUGUCAGGGGCGUUAUAGCGUGUGUUGUGAUAUAUGAAGCUACUAGAUGCAAGUGUGGGGAAAUUCUGGGUCUGGACGGGGUGUUGUGGUGUUAGAGUCCUAGCAGGGGGAGGUACUGGAGGUUGUAGGCAUGGGUAGAGGGUAAAUAGAGAGGUACACUGUAGGUUAGGUUAGGUUAGGCGUUGAUUGGCGUUGAUUCAGUAAUACAAUGUAGAGGUAAUAUUCAGUUAUACGAAUUCAGUAAUACGAAUUUAGAGGGACAAAAGAGAAAAGCAGGAAGACCACCACCACCAACAGCACCAGCACAGUGGAAGAAAGGUUAGAGAGAAGCGGGGAAAGUUGAAAAGUUAAUAAUUAAACGUAUGCUGUCUUUUAUUAUUAUCUUGAGUAUAAAAUGGUUAUAUGACAAUCUCUCUCUCUCUCUCUCUCUCUCUCUCUCUCUCUCUCUCUCUCUCUCUCUCUCUCUCUCUCUCUCUCUCUCUCUCUCUCUCUCUCUCAGCUUUGGAUUAGUAACCCCGUUGACAGAAGUGACACCCACGUUUUCUCUUCUCAGAUGUAAACAAAGCGGUACUUUCCUUCCAGCUGGUGAUCAAACUUCCUCUCGCUCUCCCUCACUCUCCCACGUCACGGAAGCAGUGAUAUAAAGCACACGAGGAGGAAAGCAACGGCAACCCUCCGAUCCUGCAAGCAGUUGGCGGCAGCGAUGGCGGCGGCAGCGGUGGUGAGGUGGACGGCAGGGACAGAGGGGCAGUACAGGCUGCGGACAUCAAGGAGAAGAGGAACGCGCGGACAAGCAAGGUGGUAUUCGGCAGUCUGAUCCUGGACCUGCUCGGCUUCACGGCGGUGGUUCCUCUGUGUCCUGCUCUCCUUGACUGUUACUCCAAGCAUAACUCCAGCGGCUUGUAUUCCUCUGUGCUCUCCUGUGUUACUUAUUACCAGCAUAUCAUCGGCGUCCCUGCGAGGUUCCGCUCUGUCUUGUUUUGGUGGCACUGAUCAGCGUGGCAUUCAGCAUAGGCUUCACCGUCGGGCCAGCUGUGGGGGCCACGUUCUCCCGCUGGGGGAAGUACUGGGUGGUUCGCGGCCUCGGCUGUCUACGCACUCACUCUCGCUGUGGCUAACAUAAUAUUCUUUGCUGUCUUCUUCCAGGAAUUGCUGCCUGAGGGCCUAAUGAUGAUGAUUCCUGCUUUCAUCCUCAUCGGGGCUAGCGAGACCAACCUGGGGCUGUACUCUGGACUGACGCUGUAUGCCAUAGGUCGCGGUCGAAACUGGCGUACGGCUUCUGUGCCUGAGCCUCCCCGUGGACGCAUUCCCAGCCCCCGAACUGAACAGUCAACCUGCCGCCAAUCUCAACUUCUACCAGAACAGCUCAGACACGGCUGGCCAGGACAACCACCACAACACAGACAUGCAUGCACCUGAUAUGGACAUGAAAAUGGAGGGACAGGAGUCCCACAUGAUGGUGUCCGACAGUGAUGCCUCGGUGCAGGAGGGGGAAUGGCAGGCAGAGACCCGCAAGCACCCCUGGGAGAAGCCUGGAGGAUUCUGGGUAAUGGGGGCAGAAGUGUGCUAUAUUGUGGGGCGGGCCUGUCCAUGCUGCUGUUGCUAGUGAUGCUGCAGGCCUACUGAGCUCCCUGCCACGCCCCCAGCCUGUGCAUAUUAGCCAGGUUAAGGUGGAAGGAUGUUUGGCUGACGUUGGGCUAUUUUAUGUGGUGUUUUUGGGCUAGUUUGGGGCUGUUUUUUCUCAUGUGUCGUUCUUUUUUGGGCUAUUUUUAUCUAUUUUUUUUUUUUUUUUUUUUUUUUAAUUGAUGUUUAUUAUUAUUUUAUUAUUAUUUUAUGUUCUUAUCUCUUUCGCUCUUGAAAUUAAGUUGUGGUAUUGUCAUUACCUAAUUAAUGGUUUAGGAGCGUUCAGUUCCAGCACAAAUAUGUAUUACUCAUUAAAACUAUUAGUAAUUAAAACCUCGUUCCUAGACUAAUAUUAACAGGCUGUAGUAGAGUUUAUUGGGGUUUUCAAGGGUGUUUUUAUGAUUCUAUAAGUUAACGGGCUGUGUUUUCAUGGUUCCAGUGACAGUUUAAGAGGCUGUAGUGGAAGUUAUUGCGGUUUUCAAGGGUGUUUUUAUGGUUCUAAAAUUUAACAGGCCGUAGUGGAAGUUAUUAGGGUUUUCAUGAUUCCAGUGAUAGUCUAAGAGGCUGUAGUAGAAGUUACUGGGGUUUUCAAGGGUGUUUUUUCAUGAUUCCAAUGAUAGUUUAACAAUUAUUCUGCCUCACCAGUGGAAAAAAAAAAAAACGCCUUUAAUAGCCUGACCAACCGUGUGUGGCCUUGCAGAACAGAGAGAGGAGAGAGAGAGAGGGGUGGGUGUUUGUUUGGGAGUGCUAACCAAAAAAUGAUCUUAGUAAUGACAUACAUAAUCAAGUGUGCGCCUUUCCCCUGUUGUAUUUCUGUUUAUUUGAGACGGGCAUGAGAAAUUCAUUACCCUCGUCUGCAAACUCUUCUCAGGAUGUAAUCCCACCUCAUCUUAAUAAAAUGUUGAUUAUUA